rnacentral:rRNA from 1 species
CAUGCGGUGGAGCAUAUAGACUAAUUCGAAGCAACGUGCAGAACUUUGACCGGUCUUGACAUCGCGGGCCCGGUGUAGAGAUACGCCUUUCCGUUCGGGGACAGCGGUGGCAGUCGGUGCAUGGUGGUCGUCAGCUCGGGUCUUGAGAUGUUAGGUAAGUGCCACAAUCACUCGCAACCUUUGAUCUUAGAGCCAGCAUUCAAUGGGGCGCUCUAAGGUAAUUGCCGGGGCCAAACCGGAGGAAGGUGGGGAUGAGGUCAAAUCAUCAUGCCCCUUAUGACCUGGGCUACACACGUGCUCCAAUGGACGGUAAAAAGGGCUGCUAACCCGCGAGGGGGAGCCAAUCCCAGAUAACCGGGCUCCGUUGGGAUUGCAGGAUUCAACUCGCGUGCAGGAAGCAAGAAUCGGUAGUAAUCACAGGGCAGCACGCCACGGAGAAUCAUUCCCGGGCGCUGUCCACCC